GGGGGGGCGGGGGGGGGCGGCAGCCCCCCAGUUUGUUGGGCAGUCGGGCAAUAUUCGCUGAACAGUCGGGCAAUUUUGGUUUAUUAUAAAAAAAAAUGGGACAAGUUCUGUAAAUUUUGUGGUCAAUUUUGUGAUGUUUCGAAAAUUUUUGUUAGGUUCAGGAAAAUUUUUGUAUGACCGAAAAAAUUUUUUGACCCCUAAAAUGGUACACUGACCGAAAUUUUUUUGGCGACGGGGGGGGGCAGAGGUCGCCAAAAUAGAUUCCGGAAAAAAAUUUUUCGAUACUUGUCGGGCAAAAUCCGGAAAAGUCGGGCAAAUUUAUUUCCGCACCCCUAAAUUUUUCCUUCCGGUACGCCCAUGAACAUUACAGAAG